UUAUGGUUUUGUCCCAAGAAAAGUCAUCUUCACACAAUCCCAUGUAAUGAACAAGAAUUGGAUAAAGAGUUGGCUUACAAUCGCCACUUCACACAAUGAACAUAUAAUAAAUCAUACAUCAUUCAGAGUACACACAUAUAGUCCGACUACGGACGAAGCCAAAAGAAGAGAAGAUAACCCAACUGCUAGAUCCCCGAUCGUCCCAACUGGGCUCCACUACUGAUCAACAUGAAACGAAACAUAGCAACGACCAAGGUCUUCGUUGAGCUCCCAUCUGAGCUCGGUUGCAUCACCUGCACUGGUAUCAUCGGCACCUGCAACUGUUGUGAUAGUAUCUGGUGAGUCACGAGGACUCAGCAAUCUCAAAACCCGCGAGAUCAAGACUAUUUAAGCUUAUGGGUAGGAAGUGGUAAUGAGGUGGAGUUGCAGCAAGCACUAAGCAAAUAUGGUGGCUAACAUACGCAAAUAAGAGCGAGAAGAGAGCAAACGGAACGGUCGUGAACUAGCAAUGAUCAAGAAGUGAUCCUGAACUCCUACUUACGUCAAACAUAACCCAAAACUGUGUUCACUUCCCGGACUCCGCCGAAAAGAGAGCAUCACGGCUACACACGCGGUUGAUGCGUUUUAAUUCGGAUCUGGUGUCAAGUUAUCUAAACCGGACAUUAACAAAUUCCCAUCUGCCUAUAAACGCAGGCACGGCUUUCGAAAGUUUAUACCCUGCAGGGGUGUCCCAACUUAGCCCAUCACAAGCUCUCACGAUCAACGAAGGAUAUUCCUUCUCCCAGGAAGACCCGAUUAGACUCGGAAUCCCGGUUUACAAGACAUUUCGACAAUGGUAAAACAAGACCAGCAAAGCCUCCCGCUGUGCCGACAAAUCCCGAUAGGAGCUGCACAUAUCUCGUUCUCAGAGCACACCGGAUUGUCCAAACUUCCGGUAGGCCAGCCCAGAGUUGCCCCUGGUGGCCACCGGCGGUUGACAGGUUGGACCAACACUCACGACGAGCACUGGCCCGGGGGGGGGGGGGUAAAAUAAAGAUGACCCUUGAGUCUGCAGAACCCAAGGGAAAAAGGCUUAGGUAGGCAAAUGGUAAAACCAAGGUNNNNNNNNNNCUCUCUCUCUCUCUCUCUCUCUCUCUCUCUCUCUCUCUCUCUAAUUGCACAGUUGCAUUGCAUGCAUGGAUUUCACCGAUUUACACUGCCAACGAUCGGCCUGUCAAAUAUUGUGGAUAUUUCAUGGUAUGGACCGAUUUAAGGGUAGUUAUUGCUUUAGUCGUGCGGUAAGUUAAUCAGGCCGGAUUUGGUUCAAGUUCAUGGCAGAAAGGAAUCAAAGAAAGCCUCAGGUGAUAUGUAUGCACGAUUAAAUCUCUCUAUCUCUGUCUCUCCCUAAUCUCUCCUUCAAUAUUGUCGAGUCAUCUAUUUUGGAACGGAGGGAGUAGGUGACAGCAGAACUGGCGUUUUGCCAAAAUAAACACCAUUCAUCAUGAUUUUAAUCGAUCUUUUCUGCCUAUAGAACUCUACAAUUUGUAGGUUACCAACAUCCUUUAUCUGCCAUUCAUCAAGUGCUCUCGUCACAACUUAGGGAUUGGCUAUGGAUAAGUUGCCUGGCCGUCCUUCUUUCUUCUUCCCCAGUUUUCUUCCUCCUUCAACUGUUCCUCCUCCCACAAAGUCCACUUACCCAAAUUACAAAUUCAGUCAAGUUACAUAUAGCUAUUGUGCACAACUUAACCAUGUCCAAGAUUAUCAAUUUUUAGUUCUUUUCUUCACGGCCGGUCGAUGAUCCGGUAUGCUGACAUCAAUUCUCUCCUCCCUUGGUCUGCGCAGAGGCAACACCAAAGCGAAUUCUUCAGCUGAUGGGCACAAAGGGGGUCAGCAUAUCUCACAUCAAGAGCCAUCUUCAGGUACUUUUUCUUACUAUCACAUGUUUCUUUCCGCAAAGGAGGUAUACCUGGCCUCUCCAUCAGUUGAUGCACGUAACCAUUAAUUUCACAGUCUCUUAAACGUGUAUGAGUUGUUUCCACACCCCAACUUCUUGACUAAUUUCUCUUAAUUACUUCAAAACUUGCUCCAUUUGCAGAUGCAUAGGUCAAGCUCUAGCAGCAGCAACAACAACAAUAACAACAACAACAACAACAAUAACCCACCCCACGUGUCAGCGAAUCGUUGCCAAGGUCACUGCAUCGAUGGCAACAACACAAGAACAACGUCUUCAGACAGGAUCAACGCUCCCUCUAACGUCGUGUUUCACCGUGGCCACCACUCGACGUUGCCACCGUGCCAAAUGUGAGUAGUGCCAUAAUUGGAUCGUCAAUCCGGUUCUGAGUUGAAGUUUAUAUGUUGUAUUGAGUUUAUUAAACAUGCCAGCUAUAUCUCAUUGUAUAGGCCAUCGAUCGAAGAGGUUUUUAGGAGCUGGGAGGAGAGUAAAAAGCGGCUGCCAUGGAACUCCACCAGCAUGCUAAUUACACCAGAAAAGGUUGGAGUAACUACUAGUGAUCAAGCAUUUCACAAGUUAAUUUGAUUGUGUACUUGUCUGAUGUCUUGACUAGCUCUUGACAUCGUGUUCAUGCAGAGCUAGGGUAUACUUGAUUAUUUUUAUGUUAACAUAGUUUUUAUUAAUAAAAGGCUAGAGACAAGCAUGAAUGAACUUAGACCAGUAAAAAAUAAUAUAUGAACCAAUCUAGAGGAAGCAAAUAUUACUCAUAUUGAUAUCUUUCUUACUUACCAUCGAUCAUACAUGCAUGUGCUAUAUAUGUUCUCUAACAAAGAUGAAGCGAUGUGCAAUAUUAGUUGCUUGAUUACUAGCAAUAUUAUACAAGCACUCAAACACAUGUUAAAUUUUCUUGACAUGGCUAAUUAACCAUGUACAUUGUUGCAGGCGACUGGCUGGUCUCGUCACACCGACGACAAGAUGCGCCAGAAGAAGCAGCAACCAGCAGCGGGGUGUGACCUAACGUUGUCGAUCGGCCGGUGUGGGGAAUCAGAGGCGACAGCGACGCUGACAUCUCGAGCACGACCACUGAGGAGGCCGCUGCGCUGGCAAGGGGUCGAGGUGCCGGUGGCCACCGUCGCCCCCAGGCUGCCGCCGAUCUGAACCUUGACUUGAACCUCGACAUCGCCAUCUCAUCUUCUCGGCUCUGAUUUGUGAUCCAUGACCCCAUGUGUAAAUAUUAGAGCUGCAUUUUUGUACGUAUUGUAUAUAUUUAGUCCCUGUGUCACAUCUUAGUAGUCGCUGAAAUGGAUGCAUUUUACUGUUAGGUACAUCCGUUUGAGCGACAACUAAUAUGGGACGAACGAAGUAUUGAUGUACGGCAUGUCAUCAUACUUGUUGUAACGUUGUUGCUAUGGUAGUGUUUUUUGCCAGAAAAAAAAAACUACCAUAGCAACCACCGGCACCUAUCGGGCUAUCUUUUUGGUUGAAUUGAUGAAUUGCCACACGUUUGCUCUCUCGAACCCCAAGGCCAAGAUGCUUCUUCUUUGGCUGCAACUGGUUAUUUAUUGCUUCUUUGGCUGCAAAUGGUUGUUAUUUCUGAAGAAGGGGAUCUCUGUCAAACUGGUUAUUUAGUUUUUAAUGGUUGGUCUUUUGAAGUCCUGGACUUGUCUUUGUCAAUGGCCGUACUUAUUGUUGCUAUUCACCUAGUGAUUUGUGUAUGAAGUAUGAAGUAUGAACCAUAAUGGUGGUCUGACUUAUGAUUGGGUCACUCUGUGUUGCUGUUGGUUGUUGCAUGCUUGCAUUAUGUGCUGCUAUUUGGAAAGAAUAAAUUUAGCAAAGGUUAAUGCAUUGCUACUUCGCUACAUGUUUAAAUAUUGAAUAUAUGUUGGAAUGCUUCUGUAAUGUUUACAACUGUAACGAGCGCUCGUGAGCGCUCAUGAGCUUAACGAGUAUUUAACGAACCGAGCCGAUUAAGAGUUUGAGCUCGUUAAAGUUAACGAGCCUAACGAUCACGUGCUUAAUGAGUCGAGUAGCUCGUUAGUCCAGCCCUGGCCACAGGCCACGUCACGCUGGCAGCAAGACGCGUCAGAAGAAGCAGCUAGUAGACGGCGAUGGGCUGUGUCAUUGUCCAUCGGUCGAUGGGAGGAACAGGCCAUGACGAUGAGCAGGGAGCCCACGGCUCGAGCAUGACCAGUGAGGAGACCGUUGCGCCGCUGAGGGAUUGAGAAGCCAGCAACCACCGCCGGUUCACCGCCGCUGAUUUGAACAUUGACCUCGCCGCUUCGUCGUUUCACCCCAGGAGCCGUUAUUGGGUUGUCUCGUGAUAAUCAGUUUGGGCCACAGAUUCGUUAGGACCAUCACGGUCGCUAGUAUAAUAUGAUGUGCUUGGACUACCAGGGAUUCGGUUGUGAGAGAAGUUGGCGUCGACAACAAGCAAACAACCAUGUGGUCAUGAGGAAAAUGCUUCCCUGAAGCCGAUUAUUCGCUGGCCGCGAUGAUUUCCUGCAGAUUCCGGCAAUAAAAUCACAAAAAAGAUGUGGCUGCGUGCUUGGCGCUUAGGCUAGGCACCGCCUCUUUGACAUUGCAACAAGCACAAAAAAGUUACAUGUGGAUCCGCUCAAGUUACUUUUCAAAUGACUCGCAGCACCGGGAAAUUUUCUCCCACCCUCCACACCUUGAGUAAGGAGGCAAAAUAGUUUAGAUUACACAUAUAAUGUAUCAAUGGUUCUUUUACUCACGUCAGCGUAGUAUUGAUUUUUGUGCACUGGUCUUUUGUUUUAACGCAUAGUGUUUAUGGUUCAAUGCACGGACUAGUUCAUCGAGGAUAUAGCCUGACGCGCCAAAAACUGCCAAAGCGAACCACACGAAGGAUCGGGUCGCUGUAGCUUGUCAACAAUGGCUUCUUUGGGACCGCCACGGCGCCACCCCAUCAUCAACAAUCAUCAUAUUGUCACCUGUCCGCCCUGCUAGAUCUUAUCUCUGACUCAACUGGCAUAGAGUUUCAACUUCCAAAAGAGAGCUAGCUACUGUUUUCUGAGCCAGAGUCCAAAGCACUCACUCUGUUAAAUUAAUAGAAGAUAUUUUUCACAUUAACUUUGGAAAAAGGGUGAAAAAUCUAAACACUACUACAGAAAAAUAGUGCACCGCAGCCAACUUGAUCACCAACAUGGACUUAAGACAGUACUACGAGACCACUGACAAGGCCAUCGAGCAACAUCAUCAGCAUCACCCAUCACUCCAUGUAUGGCUACUUCGACUUCAUUGAUAACCACUAGCAUUGUUCGCCACAGCAGGAUGCACUCGUAGUCGUUAUAACGUGGUGGUGCCCAUCCCCACAAGCAAAUAUAUGUGGCUUGUUUCAUCCAGUGAGGAUUUUUCUCCGAAUUGCUAUGGGAACUUUGGUCUAAAAAUUCUAACCAAAGAACAAGAACUUAUAGCGAUUGUGCGCUCGCUUCACAUUGCAUAACGCGGAACCAAAGAUCUAUGCCGUGGAAAAACUUAGCAUGUAGUCGACAUGAUGGAUUGGAAAAAUAAAAACUUCCAACGGUAGCUUCUGGUGUAAUUCUUGUUGGCUUUGCACCUUCUUGCAUCGGAAGUUAGUGUUCAGUGUUCAGACCGGGCCUUGGAAACAAAUAACCAGCAGAGGCAAUAAUUCCUGGACAGCAUUGGAUUGUUGCUCUUGGAGGCAACUGUCGGAGCGUGCCGUUGAACAACACGACCGCUGGUGGCUAAUUGUCGUACACAAAGGUGUACGUACGUCCAUACUAUUCAGAGCAACUAAUCAAGUGAAAACAUUUCUAGAUGAAGGUUACCUGCAUGCUGCUGACCGAUAAUCACAUGAGAUUAUACUGCCAAACCUUUACCACUUUUACAUCCUAAUCCCUUCGUAAAAAAAAUAUAAAAGCAUUUACAUCACUGAAAGUAGUGAUCUUAUAUUAGUUUACAGAGGGAAUACAUAAGUAUAAUCGAAUGUUUUGUGAGGCAGCAACGCUGGGUGCACACACACGCGGGCAUGGAACAUUUGUGUUUUGCGUCCGCUGCAUGCAUUGCGGCCCCGUAGGGGAAGCUUUGGAGCCAUGCGAGCGAGAUGCCGUCCGGCAGGGCAGCAUGACUGCCUUACAUCACCUACAGCAGGACAUCCUAUAUCCUUCUCAAAUGAUCUGAGAGGUCGUCCAGUCACAAAAAACUGAUCCAACCAAAGCUCUCAAAUGGGGCUCAAACUAUCAGGCUGACCGGUACCCCUCAUAUCCGUCCCAAAUGUAGGACGGAUAUGAGGCGGCCUAGACACGCUCGAGCGUGUUCGUCAUGUCAGCCCGGCCCACCGCUGGCCCACUCCAACCCCACAAAAUCCCCCGUUCGGAAGAAAUCCUAGCUCACUCCGCUCGGGUCCCAAUUCCCCAAUCCGUCCAAUCCCUAGCGCCGGCGAGCAUGUCCAGCACUGGCAUCCACUCCGACGGAAACUCCGGAGACGAGGAGGAGCUGGCGCUCUGUAUUACGCUCGAGCGCUCGUUGGUCGGUACGAGCGGCAGCUCCGGGUCUGGUGCAACUUAACCCGUAGCCCGUCGCUGCAGCGCCGACCCUUCCCGCCCCGCGCGCGGAUCUGCGAGGCUUGCCUGAUCUGCUCCUCCCAUCCGAUGGCCUCCUCCACCUCCGGCAGCUGCUCCGUUCGGGCUGUGGUGGGUUCUAGUGCCCGUUGCACCGACGUCGCGGAUGCGGACUCCGGAGUCGAAGGCACGUGCCACCCGCCACGAGAAACGGAGGGCAAGGGAGAUGGGGGCGGGUCCGACGCGGCGCAGUCCGCCCGCCACCGCCGCGUGAUGCCGGUGCCCGACGAAGAGGACCGUCUCCUCGAGUGGGUGUGCCGUCACUCACUUACUGAGGCGGAGACAAAGGCCCGACGGCUCCGAAGGAUCAACGCCAAGCAGCUCCGGCUUGGCAUUGAUCAAUCCGAGCGGGAGGCGGCGAGGGUGGCCAACCUCAAGCGCAACCAAGAGCACAUCGCCCGGCGCUUGCAAGGCUACAUCAUCAUCUCCGAUUCCUCUGACGACGACGGCUCCGACGUGGACCCACCUUCUGCUGCGGACUCCUACAGUUGUGUCGGCGACAGAAAGGGCAAAGGGUCGGCGAGAAAGUGGUGAAGCUCCUCGUCUCCUGUUUAUAAUCUAGUUCUAGUAUGUAGUCACAAUGUGCCAGAUCGAUGAACUGUGUGACUUAUGCCCGUUUGGUGAUGUUUAUGUGAACUAUGCCCGUACCAGUUUAUAUGUUUGUUUCCUGUUGAUUUUGAUCAUUUAGUGAUCUACGUAGUAGUUGCAUAAUUUUUUAUGGAUGUAGGGUUUGGAAUAUGAGAUACGCCGGUGUGGAGGUGUGGGUUUAGGGAGUGGCCGGUUAGUGUCUGCAGACGUGCCCGGACUCGUCCGCGGACGUAUAGGCGGGCGGAUUUGCCAAGCCGGGCUAGAUGCUCUAUGCUCUUAGAGCAUCUACAGCCACAUACGGCAAAUCUGGCCCCUCAAACGCCCUCGGACGCGCUCGGGCACGUCCGCGGGAAUGACAGGGCACACCUCAAAUUUUACUUGUUGCAUCCGAACAUCUCAUACUCGAUUCUUAUAUCCACGCAAAAGACAUGCAAAGUGAAAUAGAACCUAUGUACUACGUCGAUCCUAGUUAAUCCUCAUUGUAGAUCACGACGAUCUCCAUGCCCGGCUCCGGCAACAUCGGCGGCUGCUGCAACUCCCGCUCCUCCGGCUGCUUCGCUCCGGCCUCCUCUGCCUCUAUCUCCGCGUCAAGCUUGGCGAAGAGCGCGUCGGACUACACCUGCUCCUGCCGGAGGAACGCCCGGUUGGCCUCCACAUAGGCCUCAUCCUGGAUGGACUCCGGGAUGGCUUGCUGCUUGGCCAUCUCGUCGGACUGGGCGACGGCAAACUCUGCCUCUGCCUGCUCCAUGUUGAAGGGCGGCGCCUGCUAGUCCACCUCCUCCACCUCCAUCGAAGCCAUCUCCUCCUCCUCCUCCUCCUCCUCUUUCCACGGCUACUGCUCCUCCUCCUCCGGCUCUGGCUUGUCCGGAGGCAGCUCGACAACGAUGCGGGCAACACGCGUAGCUUCCCUCGCCCGGAUCUGCUGCUGGAUCUCGCAGCAUCGCUCCGGCAUCAGCAUGACAUAGUAGGUGAUCUUGGUCCGGACCAUGGCGAAGUGCCGGAGCAUGCGUAGAGCGCCGGAGCAGGAGAGAGAGUGGAGGUGGAUGGGCUUGGACUGGCGGCGCGGAAAGGGGGGAUGGGGAUGGGUUAGGGUUGCGGGACGCCGUCUGGCUUAAAUAGACGGAUUUCGUCUUGGGUGGCGAGCCGGAGUGGCGCUACGCGGCGACGGACGCGGCGUCCGUCGAACCGCCGGGUUUCUGGGCGUUUCCGUGAGGGGCCACGCCGUCAGGCCCACGUGGCGGGCAUGCCCGGGCGCCCCCAUAUCCGCUCCAUAUUUAGGCUGUAUAUGAGGGGUGCGGUUAGGCUGGGCGUUUGAGGGUCGUUUGAGAGGCCUGUCUGUGUCAAAAGAUCAUGACCUGGCAGUGCCCGGGCGGCCUGCCCGGGCGUAUGAGGCGGGUUUGAGAGGUCUAGUUGUAGAUGCUCUUAGGAUGAGUAUAGUGCUGCCUUUUUAGGGCUUUUUGGGUGCAGCCUUUUCAUCAGGAUAAAAAGCCACACAAGUUGGUAGGGUUACGGAGAAUUCGGAUGCAGCACUCAACCACGUGCACGUGCACCUAAUCCAAAAGUUAAUUGUAUGAAAUUCCAUCAAGUUACGUAUGUACUUGAAGGACCAACUAGCUUCAAUUUUUUUUUAUAUUGGAGUCCAUUUUUUAUCCUUGAAGAUUGUGUAUGCCACAAUUUUUACAUGACUUGGCAGAAUUCCUCCAGAAUAUGUCAUCUAAACAAGUUUGCUCCAGGUUUUGUCCCUUCUAAAGUUUCGCAUAUGUUGUCUGGUGAGGCCCAUGCCAUCGGUGUGACAUGGCGCCUUCCUCAGUGGUGCAUAUAAUGUUGUAUACAGAGUGCGGGCCAAACACCGUCUUCCUUUGCAUCGGCCUCCAUGUGCGAUCGGUGUGUCCAUCCCGCUUCUGCAUGAGCCAUUUUAUCAAAUGCUUCCUCCGAUGCUAGGCUGUGACCGAUGAUAUGCACUCAGAAGCACCGUAAGAAGGUGGAGUGAUUCGGGCGGCUCUGCCGAUAGUCCGACUUGGUUGGGGUUAACCAGCUUGCAUGUCCUGAUUGAUGUUUCGUAAAUGUCCGCAAGGAAGGAUAUACUUCCUCCGUCUUGAUAUAUUGGUCCCCAUUGUAUUUAGCGUCAAAGUUUGAUCAUAAAUUUAACUAACAAAAUAUUCAUGCAUGUCAUAAAAAAAUAUAUCACUGAAAACUAUGUUCAAAUACGAAUCCAACGAUAUAAUUUUUGUUGACAUGCAUUAACAUUUUGUUAAUUAAAUAUCUGAUCAAAAUUUAACUCAAAUUACAAAGGGGACAAAUAAAGCAGGACGGAGGUAGUACCAAUCUAACAUCUAACUCGGCACACCAUGUCGAACUGACGGUGGGCCCCACCUAAGUGUAGAGCAAAAUUGUUAACAGGUAUAAGCCAAAACAAUUUUGCUUAGAUUGGGCAUCUUAGAGAAAUUUCUACUAAAUGUAACAGUAAGUAUCACAAAUUUGAUCUUAGGUGGUGAAAAAAUAAAUAGAAUUCACCCUUUUUUAUGGGACAAUUUCAAAGUUUAAAUAAACCCCUUCAAAAAUAUAUUUAUCAUGUGGCUUCGUAAGCACUCGCUGCAUUUCAAAAUACUUGCAUGUAAGUGUUGUCUUGAGUCAAAAUUUGUGAAGUUUGACAAAUUUUACAUUAAAACAAGUCAACAUCUAAUACCAAAUAGAUAUAAUCUGCAAAUAUAUUAGAUAACAACUCUAAUAAUAUUGAUUCGGUAUUGUGCCUGGUCAUGUUUUUCUAUAAAUCCGGUCAAACUUUGCAAAGUAAGAUUUGAGAAAAAACUAAGGCAGUAGGAUGGAGUACAAGUCUCUAUGAGGAACUCAGUGUAAUGGCACUCUCGGUGGAUGGUUCAUUCUGGGAGGAAGAUGGAACAGCGGCCGCCGGGAUGAUUCUAUGAAGGCACGAUGGCUCGGUUAUUUUGUCUACUUACUAACUGCGAUGAUGCUCUCGAGGUGGAGAUCUAUGCAGUGAUGGCCGGUAUGGCGCUUGCUCGACAACAUAUGGAGCUACCAGUCAUGGUGUAGUCUGAGUCAUCGACUGCCUUAUCUUGUCUUUCUGAUUAUAACUUAGAUCGUUCGGGUUUUGGUCAAUUAUUAGCUGAGAUUAAGUACUUAAUGAACGAUAGAGUGUUUAUUCCGCAGAAAUUACAUAGAUCCCAGAAUAGUGUUGUAGAUUGCCUGGCAAGGUGCAGUCGCUCUGAGCAAGCCAGGCUAUGUGGCUCGGCAGAGGUCCUCCAUGUAUUAAGUAACUCUUGCCGUAGGAUUGUAGCUCUACCCUAAUGGAAUAAACUACUACUGAUCUCGAGAAAAGAAAAGUCUCUAUGAGGAACAAACAGAAAAUGGCAGAAACUAUGUACCAUUCAAAUUUGGUGUGUUGUCUACGUACUAUAGCUAAGAGAGAAGAUUGUGGUAAACCUUUAAUUGGAGACUUGUAGGUCGAAAAGGCGGCCCUAAAGUAUGAGCGGCCGCUGUCACGCUGAAAUUAGCCACGUGAAUCAAGGGUUAGCUUAAUUAUUAGUUACUGAAUUAACUAUGCACUGUAGUUGCGUCAUGAUUCAUGCGUAUGGGUCAUCUCCAGCUACUAGUUCUUAUAUGUUUAACAUUCUGCCUACGUUCACUAUCUAAUGUUCCCUAUUGAAAAUAGUUUGGGUAGUGUAUCUAUUAAUUUCUCAUACAUUCACUUAUGUAUCCUCUGUUUUAAAAUAAGUGUCUCAAUUUUAAUACAAACUUGUACUAAAGUUAGUAUAGAAUUAAAACACUUAUUUUGAGACCGAGGGAGUAUUAAUCAGGAUCAACAUAGAUCCCUUUUGGAAUGGAGAAAGAGAAGUUGUCGAGAUACACAUAGUUGAAUGAAUGAUCUGAAUUCCUGAUCUAUUAGUCCAUGAUAGUUAAAGAAGUCGGCACCGUCUUUGUUUACCACGAGCAUGACUGCAAAUAGUGCUAUAUCACUUCAUAUUCUAAACACCGUGCAUUGACUUUAUCUCUAUUCCCCCGCAAAACAAAAAAAAAACUUUAAUCUCUAUUAGAUUAGAUUAAUUGUGUCUUCUUACAUGCACAAAAGCUAACAAGACCAGUACACACAUGUUCCUUUCUCGCGGCCGGCUAGCAUAUAUAGCUCGUCAAGUUAGCUGGUCUCAUCGAUUGUGAUGGUCAUGACUGAUGAAUAGUAGAUAGAUAGACCUGGGAAUGGAAUAGCUAGCCGCAUAGCGUGUCCACUGAAACAUCGAAUAUAUUUGACUGGUACGUGCAUGCAUGCGUAAGUAAGCAAAGCGUGUCCAUACGCACAUCUGUAUGGUGCACAUAUAUCUGACGUUUGAGUGGUUGGGACUUGUCUGAUUCGUUGGAACGGUCUCAAGAGUCGAUGCUAAAUAUACAUUUCAAAUAUUUUGCUUGCUUCUGUACGCGCACAUGCAUUCGCCAUCAAAUUCAAACCGCCGUGGACAGGUGUACGUAGCGUACAUGUAACACCCACGAUGCGGCUAUAUCUCCCACGUGUCGAAGCACGACUUAGAGGCAUAACCGCAUGGUGGUUUUGUCGCUAGAAGGGUCAUCUUCACACAAUCCCAUGUAAUGAAUAAGAAUGGGAUAAAGAGUUGGCUUACAAUCGCCACUUCACACAAUGAACAUAAAUAAUCAUACAUCAUUCAGAGUACACACAUAUAGUCCGACUACGGACGAAGCCAAAAAAAAAGAAGAUAACCCAACUGCUAGAUCCCCAAUCGUCCCAACUGGGCUCCACUACUGAUCAUCAAGAAACAAAACAUAGCAACAACUAAGAUCUUCGUUGAGCUCCCAUCUGAGCUCGGUUGCAUCACCUGCACUGGUAUCAUCGGGACCUGCAACUGUUGUGAUAGUAUCUGGUGAGUCACGAGGACUCAGCAAUCUCAAAACCCGCGAGAUCAAGACUAUUUAAGCUUAUGGGAAAGGAAGGGGUAAAGUGGUGAGGUUGCAGCAGCGACUAAGCAUAUAUGGUGGCUAACGCAAAUAAGAGCGAGAAGAGAGCAAAUGAAACGGUCGUGAAGCUAGCAAUGAUCAAGAAGUGAUCCUGAACUCCUACUUACGUCAAACAUAACACAAACCGUGUUCACUUCCCGGACUCCGCCGAGAAGAGACCAUCACGGCUACACACACGGUUGAUGUAUUUUAAAGAUGUCAAGUGUCAAGUUAUCUACAACCGGACAUUAACAAAUUCCCAUCUGCCUAUAACCGCAGGCACGGCUUUCGAAAGAUUAUACCCUGCAGGGGUGUCCCAACUUAGCCCAUGAUAAGCUCUCGCGAUCAACGAAGGAAUAGACCUUCUCCCAGGAAGACCCGAUCAGACUCGGAAUCCCGGUUUACAAGACAUUUCGACAAUGGUAAAACAAGACCAGCAAAGCCUCCCGCUGUGCCGACAAAUCCCGAUAGGAGCUGCACAUAUCUCGUUCUCAGGGCACACCGGAUUGUCCAAACUUCCGGUAGGCCAGCCCAGAGUUGCCUGGUGGCUACCGGCGGUUGACAGGUUGGACCAACACUCACGACGAGCACUGGCCCGGGGGGGGGGGGUAAAAUAAAGAUGACCCUUGAGUCUGCAGAACCCAAGGGAAAAAGGCUUAGGUAGGCAAAUGGUAAAACCAAGGUUGGGCCUUGUUGGAGGAGUUUUAUUCAAAGCGAACUGUCAAGGGGGUCCCAUAAAUCACCCAACCGCGUAAGGAACGCAAAAUCCGAGAACAUAACACCGGUAUGACGGAAACUAGGGCGGCAAGAGUGAAACAAAACACCAGGCAUAAGGUCGAGUCUUCCACCCUUUACCAAAUAUAUAGAUGCAUUAAUAAUAUAAGAGAUAUUGUGAUAUCCCAAUCAUAAAUCUGUCCACCAUGGAGAAAUCUUCAACUUCACCUGCAACUAACAAUGCUAUAAGAGGGGCUGAGCAAAAGCGGGUAACAUAGCCACACAACGGUUUGCUAGGAGGGGUGAAAAAGGUUAGAGGCUGACAUGGCAAUAUGGGAGGCAUGGUAAACCAGUGAUAGGUAGCGCAGCAUAACGAUAGAACGGAGCAACUAGCAAGCAAAGAUAGAAGUGAUAUCAAGGGUAAUGGUCAUCUUGCCUGAGAUUCCGCUAGGAAGCAGAACGAGUCCAUGAAGAAGACAAACGGACGUAGUCGAACGAAUCCUCACAACUCCGGAACGAAACCGAAGCUAACGAGGGAAGCAAACCGGAAAGAAGCAAGCAACAUGGUAAACACACAAGCAUAAUCAUGGCAUGAUGCACAAUCAAGUAUGAUGCAUGUCUGAUUUAAUGAGGCAUGGCAUUGCAAUAUGCACAAACAACACUACAAGUUAAGUGGAGCUCAAUAUGCAACGAGUUGCAUAUUGACGAAACACCACAUCAUUUAUUUGGUUUUAAUCUCGUUUAAGCUACCAAACAAUAUUAAAUGUUGUUAAACAUGGCAAGAGGUGAGGCAUAAGCAAACCAUCUAAUUAGGCAAGUUUAAAUGAGGCCGGAAAUAACAAAAAAACAAUUCCGGAAAAUCCCCACAUGUCAUUUAGUAGUUUAAUGCAACAACAAUUUUAAACAUUUUAAAUGUUGUUAUCAUGAUGCGGAUGACAUAUACAAGUUUAUGCAUUUUUUUAUGAAAACGUUGACAUGAGCAUGUUAUGAAGCAUUUGUCACCAUGGCGAAAGGAAAAAGGGUGCCACGGCGGCGAAACAAAAAAUGGUGCCACGGCAACAUAUCCGAAAAUGAUGCCACGGCAACAUAUCGGUUCCGGUAGCUCAUGGAGAUACCGGUGCAAAAGGAAGCGUGCGGAUGAGCGCAACAUGCAAGAUGGUGGGGUGAUCCCGGAUUCCGGGUUCCCACGGGACGACGGCAUGGCAAGCAAGGAGGAACUUGCGAGGACAAACGAGCAUGAUGCAAACAUAUCGUACAUCUCAUACAUGGAAGGGCAUCUCAUCGCGGUCGUCUCGGGUUAUACCUUUGAAGCGAGCGUUUUGGAGCGGUUCAGGUUCGGUACGAUGUAGAGGAAGUAGGCGUUCACGGGACGUCGUGGAAGUAGUCGUUCGCGGCGACGGUGGUGGUACUCGCGAUCUUGGCGACGGUAGUGGCACAUCUCAUAGUGGAAGUAGUUGUUCAUGUUCCGUAGAUGUUCGGGGUUCACGGGGUCUUCGAGGGUCGACGGUAGUGGUACACACGUCAUCGGGGUACUUGUCAGAUCCGAGAGGUACUUGGCGGAAGCAUGUCGACGGUAGUUGUUCCAGGCAGGUAACAUUAGUUGUACAUAGUUUGUAGAUGUUCAUGUCGCUGUAGUCGUUCAUAGGGCCCAACACGGGGUCUUGGCGAAACCAGGGUGCAUCUUGGCGGUCUCGUCUCAGUCUUCAAACCAAAACGAAGCAAGGCAAAAGACUCGGUGCGGUGGUGGUCGGCAGGUGCACGAAGGGGAAGCAGGAGCAGAGGUGGCCGGAGGGGACGGCUCAGGCAAGAGCUCCAUAGCACGAGGAGGAGGCCGACGGAGAUGCAACAGAGAUGGGCGCAGGCGUCGCACUUGCCUACACCGGUCGCGGGAGGUCGCCGGGGUUCCGUUCCUGCCAGUUCGAAGCGGAGGCAGGCCGACGGACUCGGGGCUCGGCCAGCACUAAGGAGGCGAUGGCGGAGAUGGUUCGGCAGCACGGGGACGGCUCGGGUUGCAGGAGGCGAACGGCGGAGGACGAGCUCGCUCCGGUGCUGCGGCGCCCGAGACGGCAGGGGAGCAACGACCUGGGGCAGCGCAGCGAGGCGAAGCCCAGCGGCAGCGAGCGGGCUCUGGUGGCCGGCUGGAGGUGCGGAGGCGGCGUGGCCGCAGGUGAGGGAGGAGGCGGUGGCGGCCGGCUCCGAGGCGGACGGGCGCGGGGUCAGGCGCUAGAGGCGCAAGCGUGCCCAAGGCGGCGAGGCGACGGAGGGCCGCUGGAGUUGGCUGCCCCGAUGGGGUCACCGGCAUGGAAGAAGAAGAGGGACUUGGCCGGCGGCGCGGCUCGAGCGAGAGGCACUCGCUCCUCUCUGGCGGCGGAGGGAGGAGGCAACGAGGGGAAAGGGAGAGGGGAUCGCGCGAGGAGGGAGGAGCGGAUCGAGGGGAUGGGUUCUGGCGGCGCGCACGGGAACGAGAGGGAGAGAUGGGAAUCGAGGGAGAGAUGCGGGGGCGCUGGAUCGGUUGGGGCUAGGGUUAGAGCAGCGGUUGCGGCUGGGCCUUGGGCUUAGGGAGACUGGGCCGGCCUGGUGGGGAGGAGAAUGGCCAGGGGCCUGACUGCUGGGCUCUCUUCUCCCUCUCUCUUCAAAACUCUUCCAAAAACAGAAAAGCAAAGAAAGAAAGGGAGAGAAAAGAAAUGAGUGGACAAGAAUUAGGGCAUGAGGGUAAUUUCCCGGACUCGCAAAAAUAUGCUCGUUCCAAGAAAAAUAGAAAGGCCACUAUUGAAAGAUGUAAAUUCAAACUCAUUUGAAUUUAAUUCAAAUGGGUUUGAACUAGGACUUGAUAAAAGGAAGGUCCAAAAAUGUUCGGAUUUUUGGUGGAGCUCCGGAAAAUGAUGAAAUAAUUACGGGCAAGGUUGGAGAACAAGAAUUGAGAUAACAACGGCAUGGGAUAUUUUGCAAGUGGGUUAUGGUUAAUUCCAAAAAAUGGAAUAAUUUUAUUAUAGCUCCCUAAUAUUGGAGGAUAUGUUAUAAAGAGAAGUCACCAUGUGCGUUCCCUCGGUUUAAAUAGAUCAAAAGAUCUAUGCAAUUUAUUUAAAGGAGUUAUAAAAUUAAUGACAUGAUGGCAUGAUGACAUGAUGCAAUGCAAAAAUAAAAGAGCAAGCACAAAAGAAACACACGGCGAAACUCAGAAUAGCUGGAAGUCUUCUGAAGCGUCGGUCUCGGGGCGUCACAGUACACUUCCAUGUGAACCGUUUCAAGCAGCAACAAUUCAAUGUUAACGAUCCUCAUGGUACGAUUCCAGUCAUAACUACUGAUCCCCAUUCUAAGUCCCAUCUCGAAUGUUGGUUUCGGGAUGGAAGAACACCUUCCUAUUUUUAGUCCUUAAACAUGAGAUUCCAGUCAUAACUACUGAUCCCCAUUCUCCAGUAAGUUAAAACGAUGGAAAAGGACAGACAAUAUAUGUCAACACUCAUCCACACGUCUAGAAUUUUUAGUCCUUAAACAUGAGAUCGAGGUAGGCUGCAAAAUCCUUUUUAACACUGCAUUGGCAAAGUCUUAUACUUGAGACCUUUUGGCUUUGUUACUAUAUCGAAUUCAUGCUCCAGUCAAUUCAUACAAAAGUAUGAACUAAUGGAGAAACGGAUAAUAUAUUUCAACAUUCCUGACCUUUGCACCCUGACGUACACACAAUUAAUUAUUGCAAAGUUCAACAAUGACAAGAAAUGCUAAUUACGGUGUGCACGAUUUCAUGUCAUAGGCAGGGACAUCUAGAGAUAUAAAUUCCUCUUCACCUUUUUUUAAUUCAAAAGGCAAAUUGACAUUCUUUUUGCUUGCAGUUUUUGCAGGCUUGAAGUCUCUUUUUUUNNNNNNNNNNGGGGGUAAAAUAAAGAUGACCCUUGAGUCUGCAGAACCCAAGGGAAAAAGGCUUAGGUAGGCAAAUGGUAAAACCAAGGUUGGGCCUUGUUGGAGGAGUUUUAUUCAAAGCGAACUGUCAAGGGGGUCCCAUAAAUCACCCAAUCGCGUAAGGAACGCAAAAUCCGGGAACAUAACACUGGUAUGACGGAAACUAGGGCGGCAAGAUUGGAACAAAAACACCAGGCAAAAGGCCGAGUCUUCCACCCUUUACCAAAUAUAUAGAUGCAUUAAUAAAUAAGAGAUAUUGUGAUAUCCCAAUCAUAAUCCUGUCCACCAUGGAGAAAUCUUCAACUUCACCUGCAACUAACAACGCUAUAAGAUGGGCUGGGCAAAAGCGGUAACAUAGCCAAACAAUGGUUUGCUAGAAAGGGUGAAAAAGGUUAGAGGUUGACAUGGCAAUAUGGGAGGCAUGGUAAACAAGUGAUAGGUAGCACAACAUAGCGAUAGAACGGAGCAACUAGCAAGCAAAGAUAGAAGUGAUAUCGAGGGUAAUAGUCAUCUUGCCUGAAAUCCCGCAAGGAAGAAGAACGAGUCCAUGAAGAAGACAAACGGACGUAGUCGAACGAAUCCUCACAACUCCGUAACGAAACCGAAGCUAACGAGAGAAGCGAACUGGAAAGAAGCAAACAACAUGGUAAACACACAAGCAUAAUCAUGGCAUGAUGCACAACCAAAUAUGAUGCAUGUCCGGUUUAAUGAGGCAUGGCAUGGCAAGGUAAAGCAAACAACACUACAAUUUAAGUGGAGCUCAAUAUGCAACGAGUUGCAUAUUGACGGAACACCACAUCAAUUUUUUAGUUCUUUCUCGGUUAUGUACCCAACAUUAUUAGUUGUUAACCAUGGCAAGAGGUGAAACAUAAUUGAACUAACUAUUGAGGCAAGUUUAAAUGAGGCCGGAAACAAACAAUAAUUCCGGAAAAUCCCCAUAUGUCCUUUAGCAAUUAAAGCAAACAACAAUUUUAACCAUUUAAGUGUUGUUAACAUGAUGCGGAUGAUAUAUGCAAGUUUUAGGCAAUUUUUAUGAAAAUGUUGACAUGAGCAUGUUAUGAAGCAUUUGGUUACCAUGGCGGAGCAAAAAGGGUGCCACGGCGGCGAAACAAAAAUGGUGCCACGGCGGCGAAACAAAAAAUGGUGCCACGGCAACAUAUCCGAAAAUUAUGCCACGGCAACAUAUCGGUUCCGGUAGCUCAUGGAGAUACCGGUGCAAAAGGAGGCGUCCGGAUGUGCGCAACAUGCAAGAUGGUGGGGUGCUCCCGGAUUCCGGGUUCCCACGGGACGGCGGCAUGGCAAACGCGGAAUGUGCAAAGAACAAACGGGCACGGUGCAAACAAGUGGUACAUCUCAUACAUGCACGGGCAUCUCAUCGCGGUCGUCUCGGGUUAUACCUUCGAAGCGUGCGUUUUCGGAGCGGUUCAGGUUCGAAGCAGUGUAGAGGAAGUAGUUGUUCACGGGUCGUCGUGGGAAGUAGUUGUUCACGUGGCGAUGGUAGUUGUACAUCUUGUAGUGGAACUUGGGCGUAGUGGUACACGGCGACGGUAGUUGUACACGUUUUCGUAGAUGUCCGGGGUCGUCGGGCUUGCCGGUCUUGUCAACUUGAAAGGGUACUUGGCGUUUGCAGUUCCAUAUCGAGGGUCGUCACGUAGUCGUUCUCGGCGAUGUAGUCGACCUUGAAGUAUCCAGGGCUCCGGGCGUCGUGGUACUUGGCAAGUCUGCACGUAGAGGUACUCGCGGUCUUGGCGACGUUCUUGCUGGUCCAAAAGAAGCAAGGCAGGAGGCCGGCGACAGGGACUUGAAGUGGUCGAGGAGGCAGGGGCUCGGCGACUCGCGCGAUGCAGGGGAGCUUGGCGCGAGGCUUCGGUCGCUCAUCUCCCUUGCAGACGAGGGAGAGGCAGGAGGUCGAGCAAGGAGUAGCUCGGACGGCUCAGCUCACGGCUGACUUCGAGCGCAGGGAAGGAGCACCUGGCACAGGCUGAGAGGACCAGCGUGCACGGGCGUUCGAGAAGAGGAGGCAGGGGACUCCGGGCUCCUGGUGGAGCUCGUCGUCAGUGGCGUUCGCAGGCCGACGCGGCGGGAGGAGACACGGGAGGCAGGGCCCUCGGACUCGAGCAAUGGCGAGGCUCGACAAGCUUGGCGAGGCUGAGGGGGCAAGGCACGGCAGCCAUGGCGUGAUGAGGACGAGAACAGGCGGCGGAGGGGGCUCGAUCAGGAACUCGGGGUCGAGCUUCUCUCGAUCUAGAUCGAGGAGGGAGUGAGAGGCUCGGCUGCGGGCCGCCUGGUAGCCGACGAAGGCUACGUGGUUCUAGGCGCGGGGAGGUCGAGGGGUUCGGGAAGGACGAGAGGUGGUAGCGCCGGUGGGGGAUCGAGAGGGUGAGGAGGAGAUCAAGCGAAGGGAGAUGGGGAUCGGGCUCCUGGUACGAGGGGCUCCUCCCCUGUGGCCGCGCUGGAGAG
rnacentral:lncRNA from 1 species